rnacentral:rRNA from 1 species
GCGUCGACCUAACACAUGACAAGUACGAGACGAAGCGCUUGUUUCAGAAUCGUCGGAAGGAAGAGGACAGUGACUGAGGCGGGCGGGACGGGUGAAGUAACCGCGUUGGGACCAACCUCGCCUCCAUACAGGGGGGAUAACAGUUAGAAAUGACUGCUAAUACCGCAUAAGCGCACAGGACCGCAUGGUGUAGUGUGAAAAACUCCGGUGGUAUGAGAUGGACCCGCGUCUGAUUAGGUAGUUGGUGGGGUAAAGGCCUACCAAGCCGACGAUCAGUAGCCGACCUGAGAGGGUGACCGGCCACAUUGGGACUGAGACACGGCCCAAACUCCUACGGGAGGCAGCAGUGGGGAAUAUUGCACAAUGGGGGAAACCCUGAUGCAGCGACGCCGCGUGAAGGAAGAAGUAUUUCGGUAUGUAAACUUCUAUCAGCAGGGAAGAAGAUGACGGUACCUGAGUAAGAAGCACCGGCUAAAUACGUGCC